UGUCAUGGUUUUGUAACUUCGCUAUUGGUAUUCCACAUCAUAACAUCAUGGACAAAAGAGAAGAACUACGUAUCCCAGAGGACCUCACGGUCAGAGAAGGAAGACACAUCACGGAAGAUACGUCAUCUGGUUGCGCGCGGUGCUUCUUCACUUUCGCUUGCUGCCGGGAGAGGAGUGGGUGUGCUUUCCAAGCCGGGCGCCUUCAUCAAGGUUUUCAAGGGAUACUGAUGCACACGAAACAUGAGGGAACGGAACAUAUUUCAGAGGAACAGCAAGAACAAAGAUAUGUUGCAAUUAGCAGAAACACAAGGACUACCUAUGAAGAGUAAACUCUCCAAUCGGGUGAGAUCAUAUCCCAUUUUAUUAAUGGAAGUUUCUUCUGGAGACUGUAAGAAACAGCACCCCUUGUAAGAACUGCUGAGCAAACAGAAAUGCAGAAUCUUUGUUUAAUACUAGAAAUUCAACAAACACAUCGGAAUCCAAAGCGGAGAAAGAAUAAACUAGAAGGCGUAAUACAAAGUAUCCAGCCAUUAUGAUCUCUGUUAUCUCUAAAAUAAAAAAUAGAAAUGGAAAAGAAAAAUAUUUCAGUGCAUUUUGUUGUAGAUACCUAUUGUGCUGUAUGUGGAAGGACUGCCUUAUUGAGCAGAACAAAGUUGAUAAUUUCACUAACUUGUGUUGCUUUGCAAAUAUGUGACCAAAGUGUGAAUUGAGUGUGAAUUAGUUUUCAAGUGCAAGUUAGCACAUAGUAAAAUAUUAAGGUUUCC
ensembl:lncRNA